rnacentral:rRNA from 1 species
GGGGAAUUUUGCGCAAUGGGGGAAACCCUGACGCAGCAACGCCGCGUGGGUGAUGAAGGCCUUCGGGUCGUAAAGCCCUGUCGGGAGGGAAGAAAUGAUUGAGGGUUAAUACCUCUUGAUCUUGACGGUACCUCCGAAGGAAGCACCGGCUAACUCCGUGCCAGCAGCCGCGGUAAUACGGAGGGUGCAAGCGUUGUUCGGAAUUAUUGGGCGUAAAGCGCGUGUAGGCGGUCUUUUAAGUCUGAUGUGAAAGCCCCGGGCUCAACCUGGGAAGUGCAUUGGAAACUGGCAGACUUGAAUACGGGAGAGGGUAGUGGAAUUCCUAGUGUAGGAGUGAAAUCCGUAGAUAUUAGGAGGAACACCGGUGGCGAAGGCGGCUACCUGGACCGAUAUUGACGCUGAGACGCGAAAGCGUGGGGAGCAAAC